GGCCCUAUCGUCUAACGGUUAGGACAGAAGCUUUUCAAGCUUUAAAUCGGAGUUCGAUUCUCCGUAGGGUCACCA
rnacentral:tRNA from 1 species